rnacentral:ncRNA from 1 species
AGUUUUAUUCUUGCUUAAAUAUUUAUUAUAUGGAAUAAUUACAUGUAAGUUGUUGCGUGAUUAAAAUUAGUUCUAAAUGGUAUUAAUUUAUUCGCAGUAUUUGGAUUUAUAAAUUAGGGAAACUUAGAUUUAGGUAUUUAUUAUGUGAUUGGCUAAAGUCGUGCCAGCAGCCGCGGUUAUACGUAGGAUUGAAAUAAAUUUUAUUAGUGGAAAGUUAGUUUGUUUAUGUAAAAUUAUGAGGUUGUUUUAUGAAGGUGGAAUUUAUAAAAUGGGAAUGAAUUGAUUUAUUGAAUGAGGCUUUGAAAUUUUUAAGAUAAACUAGGAUUAGAUACCCUAUUAUUAAAAAUGUAAAUGUAAUAAGCUUGAGUAGUAUUAGGUACGUUCUUGAAACUUAAAGAAUUUGGCGGUGUUUUAGUCUUUUCAGAGGAAUCUGUCCUAUAAUCGACAAUACACGAUAUAAGUCACUUAAUUUUGUAAAUCAGUAUGUAUAUCGCCGUCAUUAUUUAUUCUUUUAGGAUAAAAUUUAUGUAAUUUUAUUAUUAAAAAAUAUGUCAGGUCAAGGUGCAGCUAAUGGUUAAGUAAGAGAUGGAUUACAAUAACAUAAUUUAAAUGGAUUUUACAUUGAGAAGUAUGUUUAUGAAGGUGGAUUUGAAAGUAAUAUUGUUAUAUUAUGAUAAUAUGAUUGUAGCUCUAAAACGUGUACACAUCGCCCGUCGCUCUCAUUAUUAAGGUGAGAUAAGUCGUAACACAGUAGAUGUACUGGAAAGUGUGUCUAGGAUGA